GUGUACAGAAAUGUUCUGCAUCUUGAUUGCAGUGUUGGUUACAUGACUGUGUAUUUGUCAAAACUCACAGUACUGUACCAAAAAGUGAACUUAACUCUAUGUAAAUUUUAAAAUAAGUUGAAAAAAAAAAAAGAAAACACUUGGUCACUAAUACCUAAAUUUAAUAGCAUGUCAACCCCACCUCCGGAGUCCACACAAGGAGGGGAUGCUACCCCACGCCCCAGGCUGUCCAGCGGACAGUCCAAGGAUAGGUGUUGGCACCUCUGCACAGGCAGCUGGGAGGAGCAGGGGGCGGGGAC
rnacentral:lncRNA from 1 species